rnacentral:rRNA from 1 species
GACGAACGCUGGCGGCGUGCUUAACACAUGCAAGUCGAACGGUGAAGCUCCAGCUUGUUGGAGUGGAUCAGUGGCGAACGGGUGAGUAACACGUGAGCAACCUGCCCCUGACUCUGGAAUAAGCGCUGGAAACGGCGUCUAAUACUGGAUACGAGAAGGGUCCGCAUGGGCACUUUCUGGAAAGUUUUUCGGUUGGGGAUGGGCUCGCGGCCUAUCAGCUUGUUGGUGAGGUAAUGGCUCACCAAGGCGACGACGGGUAGCCGGCCUGAGAGGGCGACCGGCCACACUGGGACUGAGAGACGGCCCAGACUCCUACGGGAGGCAGCAGUGGGGAAUAUUGCACAAUGGGCGAAAGCCUGAUGCAGCGACGCCGCGUGAGGGAUGACGGCCUUCGGGUUGUAAACCUCUUUCAGCAGGGAAGAAGCGAAAGUGACGGUACCUGCAGAAGAAGCACCGGCUAACUACGUG